rnacentral:rRNA from 1 species
AAAAGACUUAGUCCUAACCUUACCGUUAAUUCUUGCUUGAUAUAUACAUGCAAGUAUCCGCACCCCAGUGCAAAUGCCCUGCCCCCUUACAAGGCACAAGGAGCGGGCAUCAGGCGCACACACUGUAGCCCAAAACGCCCAGCCCCGCCACACCCCCACGGGUACUCAGCAGUAAUUAACAUUAAGCAAUGGGCGAAAGCCUGACUUAGUCAAAGCAAUUAGGGUUGGUAAAUCUUGUGCCAGCCACCGCGGCCAUACAAGAAACCCAAAUUAACCGUAUGCGGCGUAAAGAGUGGCCCAAGACUACCACAACAAAUUAAGGCCAAACUACGGCCCAAGCUGUCAUAAGCCCAGGGCCCCACGAAACCCAACCUAAAGAUGGCCUUAACACCCCCGAUCAAUCCUACCCCACGAAAGCCAGGAUACAAACUGGGAUUAGAUACCCCACUAUGCCCGGCCCUAAAUCUUGAUGUUCACCUAACACAAACAUCCGCCUGAGAACUACGAGCACAAACGCUUAAAACUCUAAGGACUUGGCGGUGCCCUAAACCCACCUAGAGGAGCCUGUUCUAUAAUCGAUAACCCACGAUCCACCAAACCACUUCUCGCCAAAAUCAGCCUACAUACCGCCGUCGCCAGCCCACCUCCAUGAGAGUGCAACAGUGAGCCAAACAGCCCAUCAACCCGCUAAUAAGACAGGUCAAGGUAUAGCCUAUGAAGUGGAAGAAAUGGGCUACAUUUUCUAAAAUAGAAUAAACCAACGGAAGGGGGCCUGAAACCUGCCCCCAGAAGGCGGAUUUAGCAGUAAAGCAGGACAAUCAAGCCUUCUUUAAACUGGUCCUAGGGCACGUACACACCGCCCGUCACCCUCCUCACAAGCCCACAGACACACUAACUAAUACAACAUAACAGCUAAAGAUGAGGUAAGUCGUAACAAGGUAAGUGUACCGGAAGGUGCACUUAGCACAU